AGAGUUUGAUCCUGGCUCAGGAUGAACGCUAGCUGGAGGCUUAAUACAUGCAAGUCGAGCGGGAUUGGUAGCAAUACCAUGAGAGCGGCGCACGGGUGAGUAACGCGUACACGACCUACCUCUAACAGGGGGAUAGCCCUGGGAAACUGGGAUUAAUACCGCAUAUAAUUCUGAUAAAUAGAUGAUUGGAAUGAAAGUUCAGGCGGUUAGAGAUGGGUGUGCGUCUGAUUAGCUAGUUGGUAAGGUAACGGCUUACCAAGGCGAUGAUCAGUAGGGGGCGUGAGAGCGUGAUCCCCCACACGGGUACUGAGACACGGACCCGACUCCUACGGGAGGCAGCAGUAAGGAAUAUUGGUCAAUGGGCGAAAGCCUGAACCAGCCAUCCAGCGUGCAGGAAGAAGGCCCUACGGGUUGUAAACUGCUUUUGUCAGGGAAGAAACCCUUGGAUUCACUCCGAGGCUGACGGUACCUGAAGAAUAAGCACCGGCUAACUCCGUGCCAGCAGCCGCGGUAAUACGGAGGGUGCGAGCGUUAUCCGGAAUUACUGGGUUUAAAGGGUGCGUAGGCGGCUUGGUAAGUCAGGAGUGAAAGUUUGCGGCUCAACCGUAAAAUUGCUUUUGAUACUGCCAGGCUAGAAUCAGGAUGAGGUCAGCGGAAUGUGGCAUGUAGCGGUGAAAUGCAUAGAUAUGCCAUAGAACACCUAUUGCGAAGGCAGCUGGCUAGACCUGUAUUGACGCUGAGGCACGAAAGCGUGGGGAGCGAACAGGAUUAGAUACCCUGGUAGUCCACGCCCUAAACGAUGCUUACUCGACGUAUGGCGCUAGUCGUUGUGCGUCCAAGGGAAACCGUUAAGUAAGCCACCUGGGGAGUACGACCGCAAGGUUGAAACUCAAAGGAAUUGACGG
rnacentral:rRNA from 1 species